rnacentral:lncRNA from 1 species
GCUUUGCAAAGGAGAUGAGGAAGGGUGCAAUGCUGACACAUGCCCACUCUACCAGCACCAAGACACACACCGAGCUCCCCCAGGCCGGCCAGCUCCCCCAGGCUCCCAGCUGACUUUAUUUUGCCCAAGAGGCCAGAGCCUAACUCGAGGAUUGAAACUCUUGCAUUACAACAAUCAUUAGCCUUCCUUCCCCUGGGCUUUAGAGCAUGUAGUAGAGGUGCAGGAGGAUGCCCUGAGUGCAAACGGAGGCAGAUGGCCUCUGAGGAUUCUUAAGACUCUACAAUUCUUUCCUUGCAGGGAUGCACCAAUCCAACUGAUUGCAGCAUAAUGUUUGAUCACGCGAAUCUGAUUCUCCCACUGGCUUCCCUUAUAAAAUCUAAGAUGUGUCCCCAAACAGCCAGAAACUGUCCCCAUAGACUUAAAUGAAGGCACUGAUGAGAAACCAGCUGGCUGCCUCCUCUCACCAAGAGGUCUGACUUCAUUUCUCCAUUGCAGUCACCACUCCCUCUCUCCACCUUGGGUUCCCCAGGGCCCAUUUGACCCUAAAUCCAGGUUUAGCCCCCGCCAUACUCCUGCCUCUUCACCAAUUUCAAAUGCACAUAUUCUUCAUCUAAAAAUAGAGCUGAUUUUCACAUUGGGCACAAGUUGAUGGAUUUUUCUUCACAUGCAAAGCUAGUGAUGCCACUUCUCUCCAUCGCCCUUACGGCACUUCUUUUCUGUCUCUCAAAUUCGUCCUCUUCACUCAGAUGGUCCCCUUUCUCCUCUCCAGCUGUCCUCCCUGGACAACGUGGGUCUGGCCUCGCACCACCCCAUCCCAGGCUUUUCAGGUGGUGGUGUGACAGCCUUUCAUUUAUCUGUGUCCUCCACUGUACCUGACUAGAAGCUUCAUAAAGGGAGGAUCGUGCCUGUUUUAUUCACCAUUUUACCUCCAACACCUAGCACAAUUGUUCAUCUUAGUGUCCACUUGACUGGGCCCCUACCUGGUGGAUGCCCAGAUAGAACCAAAAGGCAGAAGGAGCUAAUUCUCUUUCUCUCUGCUUGAGCUGAGACAUCCAUCUUCUCUUGUCCUCAGACAUCAGUACUUCUGGUUCAGGCCUUCAGACUCGUCUGGAUAACCCAGGGUUCUCCAGGUUCUGGAGAAUCCUGAUUAAUAUAACAGUGCUCAGAGCAUAAUAGGUGCUCACCGAAAAUCUGUUGAAAGAAUGAAUGACCCUUGGGAAGAUUCAGUAAGGUGAUAUGUGUAAAAGGAAAAAGGGAGAGGUUAUGCAAAAUUCAUUUCCUAGCAGAGGCAAACAGAAGAGGAACCUGGGAGCCUGUUGUGCACGGGAAAUGAUGAAUGCUGGAAUAACCCCCGCUCAGUGGAAGACGAUGAUCCAAGCUCCAUGGAGCUGCAGCCCUUCUGUCAUGUACUUAACAAAGGGGACACCUUCUAAAACAUGUGUCAUGAGGCAAUUUUGUCGUGUGAACAUUAUAGAGUGAACUUACUCACGCCUAGGUGGUAGAACCUAUUACACACCUAGGCUGUAUUGUACAACCUAGUGCUCCUAGAAUACAAACCUGAACAGCAGGUCACUACUGAAUACUGUAGGCAAUUGUGACACAAUGGUAAAUAUUUGUGUAUCCAAACAAAGAAAAGAUACAAUAAAAGUGCAGUUUUAAGGCCGGGUGUGGUG